UCGGGAAUUUUGGGCAAUGGGCGAAAGCCUGACCCAGCAACGCCGCGUGAAGGAUGAAGUAUUUCGGUAUGUAAACUUCGAAAGAAUAGGAAGAAUAAAUGACGGUACUAUUUAUAAGGUCCGGCUAACUACGUGCCAGCAGCCGCGGUAAUACGUAGGGACCAAGCGUUGUUCGGAUUUACUGGGCGUAAAGGGCGCGUAGGCGGCAAUUCAAGUCAUCUGUGAAAUCUCCGGGCUUAACUCGGAACGGUCAGAUGAUACUGCUUUGCUAGAGUGCAGAGGGGGCAAUCGGAAUUCUUGGUGUAGCGGUGAAAUGCGUAGAUAUCAAGAGGAACACCUGAGGUGAAGACGGGUUGCUGGGCUGACACUGACGCUGAGGCGCGAAAGCUAGGGUAGCAAACGGGAUUAGAUACCCCGGUAGUCCCUGAGCGGGCUGGCAAGGCGCAU
rnacentral:rRNA from 1 species